UGAGGUGUGGCUCCGUGGUAGAGCGCUUGCUUCACAUGUGUGAAGCCCUGGGUUCGAGUCCCAGCACCAAAA
rnacentral:tRNA from 1 species